UGGGAAGAGGGGCGGGGCCGCCGGCUCCAGGGACAAUGGGGUGGGGCGGGCUUUCCCUGGGUGGGCGCAGCGGCUUCCUGGGCCCCCCUCACGCUCUGGGUCAGAGUUCCUUUACAGGCGGACCUGAGAGGCAACUCACCGACUCCUGCCCUGGACCCUCCUGCGCCACUGAACCCCCUGACCUGGGAGCCUCGGAACCUAGGGCUCAGGAGCUGGAUCCAGUCCCGGGACUCUCCUGCUUCCCAGCUCCUCCUCCCGCACCCCACAGCACCCCUUUCCUCUCAGAGCGGCCGUGGGUCCCAUCAGGCUUUCCCCUCGGAUCCUCUGCAGAUGAACCAGGACUUACCCGAAAGUACCAAGUGAACUUCUAGGAAAAGUCCAAUUCUCAGAUGCUGGAUGUCUUCCAAAAAUGAAGCAAAUUAGUAACUUAGUAGCUGAGUCAACUAAUCCUGUUAGAUGGUCAACAUUGAUUUUUUUAUUUUAAUAUUUUUAAGUGGCAGCUCUAGUGUGUGAGAAAAUUAAUGUGG
rnacentral:lncRNA from 1 species